AAUCAAUAAUUGGUAAUCGCCCCAUCAAUGAAAAAAAUUGACAGCUGGGAAUUUGCUAUUUGUUUUGUUUUGGUUUGGUUUUCUUUCUGCAGCUAAAAGCUUUAUUAAAGCACUGCUGCGGAAACAUUUGAAGGAUGAGUUUCUAAAUUUCAUAAAGGUACGGGUGACCUGAAUGGACGGCUUUGUUUUUAUAACGUUACAUAUUUGUUAUUGAGCUGCAAUAGUUGCAACAGGGCACGUUGUGUUCUAAAAACAUCCUUUUAAAAUACCCCACACCCCAGUGUUAUACAGCGUGUGAAUCAUCUGGAAUUGAGAAAACGUCGGGACAGCUCAGCUCGGAAAUUUGCAAGAAGGAACAUAAUUCAAACCCAAAUUAUUAAUAAGUUAGUGCACAGGAAUAGUAUUUUUUUUCCUUUUAAAUACAUCGUAGACUCUUGUCUACAAGUGUAUGUAAAAGUUUUUGAUUCGGGUCACGCGUUGGGGCACAGCGAUCCAAAAUCGUUCUACAAAUAAUUUACCGUACCCAAAUCAUUUGCAAAAUACUAUCAAGCAACAGGAACAACAAACAGGAUCACAGCAUAAGCUCUUAGCAACAACACCAAGUGAAGCUCGUCGACUUACAUAACAGAAUAAAAAUGCAAGAUUCCUGUAUAAGUUCAGCGCUUGCAAAAUACCGAUUUCCUGUUUCCUGGUUAAAGAAUUGUACGUGAAGAAUGGUCAGUUAGUCGGCACAGUACAACAAGCAGUAUUAAGAUCGGCUCAAUGUCUUACAUAAAUAACUACAGGGCUAAUUUCAUGUUCCCCAAAGAUUCGAGAUUACUUAUUUGCAUUGCAUGUUUUCGUUGAUGUAUGAAUAGUAAAUAUUGAUUGUACAAAAACAUUUACGUCUACAAGAAGAUAUGAAAAUUGCUUUACACGGUAUGUAUUUGCAAGUUCUUUGAAAACGAAAUAAACCUAACACAAAAGAAUCUAUCUCUAUGGCAGAUGGAAAUUAAAUUUCACGUUUCUAGUUCGUCUGUACGUGCAUCUGCUUUGUGCAUGUAUGCCUUUCCAUAUGUAAAAAGUAGCAUUUACAGAUGCAAACGCAUGUCGUGUAAAAUCACUUUAACAAACAUGAAUAGCAUUGAUUUUUUAUAAUUUUUUUCUGACGGUGUUAUGCACUUUUUUUCGUAUAAAAUAUUACUUUGUAUG